CUUCUAAUAUACCUCGCUGCCCCCAGUAUUAGAGAAGAUGAAUCUCUAUGGUAAAUAGAGAAGAUACUUAGAAAUAGGACUGCCGAAAACAUAAGGUAAGUCUUGAUACUCAUAACAUGACCCAGCAUUCUCAACAUCAACAUUACCUGGGAACUUGUUAGAAAUGAAGACUCUGUGGGCCUACCCAGACAUCUGGAUCUGUAUUUUAACAAGAUUCCCAAGAGAUUCCUAUGUAAAAGUUUGAGAAGCACUGAAUGAGGCUGAAUUGAUGUGUUGGGAAUGGUUACAAAAAUUGAGUCAAUAGCUAUCUGCUUCUUGUUUUGCUUUGCUCAUGACCUUGAGUUUUGGUGACAAAUGAAUGAAGUUUCUCCACCUCAAAUAGUGAAAUCAGCAUCGUGAAUAAGAAAACUAAAAAAGUUACCAGGCCUUCAAACUCUGAGCAAUGGAGGCAGUGGAAAGGCAACAAGGGGCAGUUGGAAAAAAUUCAUUUCAUGAGCCCUAAGGGACUCAGCUUUGUCACUGCCUCUCUAGAAUGCCGAGCAAAUCCCUCUCCGUUUUAGGCCUUGUUGCCUUUAAACAAGGUGAUCUUAUAGCACCUUUUCAGCUUUGAUAUUCUGUUAUUCUUGGGUUUGGAUUCUACCAAAGCCUUCAUUGUCAUGAAAAGAGACUACUACUUUAGUAUCUUCAGUUUAUAUAAGAAGGGGUAAAUUUCAGAGUCAUAGUAAAGCAACAUUAAUGGAAACUGCAAGGAUUUUGGAGGGGUAUUACUUCAAUUAAACUGCUCAUGGUACUAGCACAAGGUUCUUUCAAACCUUUCAGCAUUUCUUUCAACAGCAAGAGUACACAUGGGGUAGGACAGAUAGGCUUUAUAUCUGGGAGCUUUGCCUCCAUUACAUGUUCAUGCUCGUUACUUCAUUAGAGCCUCACACAGCCUUAUCACCUAGUCAGAGCAAGGAUAAUUAUCCUCAUUUUAUUAAAACUCUGACAUAACAUGUCCUAGGUCAUAUAGGUAGGAAACAGAGUGGAACUUAAGCGUGAUUUCUUCUAGGCUGUACUAGUCCUCUAGGAAGGAAAAGCAGCCUUGAAAACCCACAGGUCUUCUCCUGGGAAAUGUUAUGUGCUCGAAGUAUUAAUUCCAUCAAUCGAGUUGCUUCAAAACACUGAUUGAUUUUAUCCUGUUGGAGCAUAUAACAGCUGUAUGACUUGAAACUUUGUGGAGCACUUUUAGUUCCCUUACAUCAUUUUGUUCUCAUAGCAGCCCUAUAAGGUGGGAAGUACAAGGUAUUUUGCCCUCGCUUAACAUAUGCAUAAGUAGAAGCCCAGCAGCAUUGCAUUAGUCUUCUAUUGCUGCUACUAAAACAGAUUAUCAUCAGUUUAGCAGCUUAAGACAACAUCUGUGUGUUACCUAACAGUUUCUGUUGGUCAGAAGUUUGCUGGAUUCAUUGCUUAGGUUCUCACUGAGUUUAAAUAAAAAUAUUAUAUGAUAAGCCUGUGGUUGUCAUAUGAGAUUCAGAGUUCUCUUAAAGGGUU
rnacentral:lncRNA from 1 species